AGUGAACGCUGGCGGCAGGCCUAACACAUGCAAGUCGAGCGGCAGCGCGGGGGCAACCCUGGCGGCGAGCGGCGGACGGGUGAGGAAUUCGUCGGAAUCUGCCUUUUUGUGGGGGAUAACGUAGGGAAACUUACGCUAAUACCGCAUACGUCCUACGGGAGAAAGUGGGGGACCGCAAGGCCUCACGCAGAAAGAUGAGCCGACGACCGAUUAGCUAGUUGGUGGGGUAAAGGCCCACCAAGGCGACGAUCGGUAGCUGGUCUGAGAGGAUGAUCAGCCACACUGGGGCUGAGACACGGCCCAGACUCCUACGGGAGGCAGCAGUGGGGAAUAUUGGACAAAGGGCGCAAGCCUGAUCCAGCCAUGCCGCGUGUGUGAAGAAGGCCUUCGGGUUGUAAAGCACUUUUGUCCGGAAAGAAAUCCCUGGAGCUAAUACCUUCGGGGGAUGACGGUACCGGAAGAAUAAGCACCGGCUAACUUCGUG
rnacentral:rRNA from 1 species